ACAACAGAGGACACCUUCUGAGCAAGUCCUUGAACCUUUCCCAAGCCUCGUACAAACUCCUAUCUUCUAGUUGAUGGAAAGAGGUAAUCUCAUUUCGUAAUUUU
rfam:Citrus clementina cultivar Clemenules unplaced genomic scaffold scaffold_8, whole genome shotgun sequence.